AAUGUACGGGCGGAGAUGGGCCGCGCGCAGUGCACCCGGCGUGACGUGCAUGCACGAGCGAAAAGAACUGAAUUAAUCCAAUCAUUGAAAUAAUUUUGUUUGCAGAGGCAAUUCGCGCAAGGGAGGUAUAGGAAUUUGAUGGCUUGCGAGUGACAGCACGAGCCGAAUUUAUUGCCCGUGGAAGUACCCACGAUAGGAAUACACUGUUGGGAACAUGGUGGCGCCGCUGACGGUACCUAUGUAAGUGGAAUUACUUUAUUGGAAGUACCCACGACGGGGAAAAUAGUCUCUCUAGUAUUGUCGGUGAAUGGUGAUGGUGGUGGUGGCGAUGGCUACUUUCCUCUGCUCAGAGAGAACCCCUGCAUGUCCUUCGUCGUGAUGCGAAAGAGCAGUGGAUGCAGAAAAUGUCUCUACCUGCCAGGAUGGUAUAAGAGCACGAACUGAAUCACCUGUUGGUGCAGAAGGCUUGGAGGACUGCUUUUGAAACAGUUGUUCAAAUUUCCUGCACCUCUUCGUAGCCGUUGUCUGAUUGCUGCAUUCUGGGGAGACUGAAGUUAAGUAUUAUCAAUUUAUCAUGCCUAUACAAGCCUUGCCAGUGUCUCGAUAGGAGAAGCAGAUACAUGAUUACACCACUUGGGUUUUGACCUUCUUUGGCCGGGGCGAAUGUCGAAGGAAAGACUCCCUCUGGGCCAAGGUGUUGGCGACAGUUGAGAGUUGUCCUCUAUUUUGCAGCGGGGGACAGCAUGGCAUAUUUGGUGCCGGAAAGAGUGCAGUUGCACUUUUCAUGUUACUGUAAAAUUUGCUAGGUCAAUCCCUUGAAGCUGGAGACUGCUGAUACUGCUGCUCAAACGGCUGCUGCUGUUACUCUCUGCUGCUACCAUGGUCGUUGCUUUGUAUCAAUGGCGAAAAUUCUCAGAUGAGCUUUGGGUCCGGGCACUAGAACCCUGCUGCUGCCUCUGCAGCAGUUGUAGAAAGUUUUAUAAUACCAGUGUCGAUGGUGAACUUCUGCUCUUUUUUUUAUCCCAGACACUUUGUGCUCAAGAGACUGUUAGGUCUUUGUGGUGUUGUCGUUGCUGUUUGGUUAUACUAGUUGGCGUCUGUUUGGAAAUAUAUUGUGCUUUUCUGUGUGUUCAUGUGAACGUAGAAGCCCUCACCGAAACCAACACUACGUUGCUGUGUUGUUUUCUUCCAAGGUCGGGCACAGUAAAGGAGACGACUCUGUAUCAAGGCACUACCCAGAGGGAGGAUGUUGGCCUUCUCCUGAUGGGAAAAUGUCUUCUUUCUCAUGGCGUGGCCAGGACUGCACUGACCCUACCAUCCACUCUACCUCUCCGGAAAGGGACUUGACAACCAGUCAAGAUGGAUGUGCAGAGAUAUACCAGCGCUUCUAGCAUUAACUGCCAAUUUGCACUGACGCAGCAAGACUCCCAACAGUCAAGUAUGUUUCAUUGCAUGCACUAGGAUUACAGUAGAAUGCCGAUUAUCCGAAUGUCAACUGUCCAAACGGUCAAUUAUCCGAAAUUCCUGUUUGCACUGAAUUCAAUUCAAUAAGUCGACUUAUACUGGCAAAAUAUGGUAACAGCGGGACUGUAGGGUGUAGCAUUUCCAUGAUACAGUGGAAAAUUUCACGAUUUUUGGUGCAAACAUAGCUCGGACGCUGCUCGAUUGGAUAUACAAUGCAGGUUCUUGGAACCACGGACACGACUCUUCGAUUCAAGGAUCACAACACUUCGGGAUCUGAACGUUUUAGGUCCGGGAGCUGUUCGCGGUUUUGUCGCUUGUCACGGUUGUGGACUCAUCGUUGUAGCAUAAAUGAGGCUGGACUAUUCCAAGCCGAAAACUAAAAUAUUUCCUUCUCAAAGCACAAUCACCGGCCCGGAGGUGCACACCUUCUCUAACUACAUACCGGGUGCAGUACAUGACACGUCCGUGUAUUGACUAGUCUCUUGUACAUAAUUUUAGAUCUACCACACGACUCGCGUAGCGCUAGCACAGCAGUGCGGGUGUAGUCAUGUACUACUACUACUACAGUACUGCCGGGCGCCGAAGAACGGACCGCCGAUGAACGGCCAGGCUAUGAUUUCGCUAUUUUUUAAGAACGGUCUAGGUAGAAACGUGAUGUACAAUAUGAAUAUGAUGUACACUCAGACGUAUAACUCUGCAUAAAUGUACAUGCAAGACUGUACCAUCGAAUAUGAACGAAACUGCUGUGUUCGCCAAAAAUAAGAACGGGCUAGGCUAGAACCCUGACCCCGUUCUUCGGCGCCCGGCAGUACUGUAGUGUAAUGUUCCGUAUGUUUGUUGACUAUGGCAUGCAGGCAGAAGCCAGCGGAUGUAAAAAGUCCAACUCGGAAACGGCUAAAAACGGGGUAUCCUCAAAUUUUUUUUUAAAAAAUUCAGCAGACUUCCCCUCUAAUACGUAAGGCAGAACUUAUUACAGUCCUUGAUUAGAAGUUGAUAUAUUCUUGUACGAAUCCGGUGUCUUUUGUGAAAAGUGUAUGCAAGCCUUUUAAAAAGCAUCUCCCACCAGGCAUUCGAUCGAAUUUUUCAUGGCGUGGAGAUUUGUUACGGCGUGAACCGAUGCUUGGCGUGUAGAAUUUGCUUUUUGAUGUGUUCUUUGGAAGAUGCAGUCUUAAAAAUGGUGUGGAUGUCUUUGUUUCUGUCCUUCUGCUGUCCUCGUAAAAAGAAUAAUAUAGACGUGCAGAAAAUGUAGGAGAGCGAUGACAUCAGAAGGACACUCUCAGGUUCAGGGUACCUGUACUGCCCCAAUAAAGUGGGUCAGAUCCCAAAACGAGGUUGGCCGAAGCAAAAAAAAUAGAAGAGCCUGCCUUGAACUGAAUAUGAGGAGGAAGAAGAAGAAGACAAAGAAAGAGAAAGAGUAGGAAUUUGUUUGUGUAAACUUUGUUUCCUCUGUCUAGGCUGCCACCGCAUUAUAGCAGCCAACAGUGCGUGUGUGUGUGUGUGUGUGUGUGUGUGUGUGUGUGUGUUUGCGUUUGUGUGCACACGCUUGUGUGUGUGUUUGCAUGUGUGUAUAUUCUGCUAAUCUUGACUUAAAUUUCCACAUCUGGGCAUAUUGUGUUCUGUAUGUGAAUUUAUCUUCAUUAACUUGUGCGCUACGUUCCUUUCUUCACGUUACGGCACUUUAGUAUUGUUUUACUUGAACAUCAUACUCUCGCCCAACUUUGUUUCACCAACAAAGGUUUAUUCUCCAAAGUAUUUCUAAUUGAUUGUGUAUGAGUUUCAUACUACUGUCA